GACGAACGCUGGCGGCGUGCUUAACACAUGCAAGUCGAACGAAGUGGCGAACGGGUGAGUAACGCGUAAUCAACCUGCCCUUCUGAGGGGGACAACAGUUGGCAACGACUGCUCAUACCGCAUACUGAAGGCGGGGAUUGCGUCGGAUUAGCUAGUUGGAGGGGUAACGGCCCACCAAGGCGAUGAUCAGUAGCCGGGCUGAGAGAAUGAACAGCAGCAUGGGGAAUGAGACACGGCCCAGACUCCAACGGGAGGCAGCAGGGGGGAAGCUUACGAAAGGGAGGAAAGUCUGACUGAGCAACGACGCGUGAGUGAGGACGGCCGUCGGGGUGUAAAGCGCUGUUAAUCGGGACGCGGUACCGGAAUAGAAAGCCACGGCUAACUACGUGCCAGCAGCCGCGGUAAUAC
rnacentral:rRNA from 1 species